AAGUCGUAACAAGGUUUCCGUAGGUGAACCUGCGGAAGGAUCAUUAUCGAAAUACAAAGGUCUCUCGUGUUGUCGCUGGCCUUCCUACUCGGGGGGCAUGUGCACGCACGUCUGGCCUACAUCCUUCUCUUACCCCUGUGCACCUCUGCGUGGAUCCGGAGCCCCACAAGGGUUUUGGGCCCACGUCUCUUAUACACCCUUUGUAUGUCUUCAGAAUGUCUAAUGCGAUAAAAAGCAUCUAAUACAACUUUCAACAACGGAUCUCUUGGCUCUC
rnacentral:misc_RNA from 1 species